GCUGGGCUGGGGCUCAGCAGUAGAGUGCUUGCCUUGCACGUAUGAAGCACUGGGUUCAAUCCUCAGUUCCACA
rnacentral:tRNA from 1 species